GGGACCUCGUCCCGUCCGGGGAGCCGCUGUCCAAGGUGGGGCCGCCCCUUCCCGGUCGGGUUCCGCGCCCACGGCGCCGCGCUGGCACCUGGGCCUGCGCUGACAGAUUGCCGGCCUCGGCGGGCACAGCUAGGAAAACAGCGCUAAGCCGCGCAAGCUGCCGCCCAUUAAUGCCUCUUGGCUUGCAGGACGGCCGGCCGGCGCGGCGCGCGGCCCUCCCCGCGGCUCCGCGCCCCCCUCCCCUCGCCCUUCCUUCCCCUCCCUCCAUCUCCAAGCCGCCGCGCCCGCUCGCCUCGGCCUUCCGUCUCCUCCGCUCCGCCUUUUGUCUCCCGCUUUCCUCGUCUCCCUUCUCUCCCCUUCUUUGUCUUCGUCCUUUUUCCUCCCCUCGGGUUUCCCCCCGGGUCCCUUCGUCGCACCCUCCUCUUCCUCGCUCGCUUCGGUCCUUCGCGGCCCCUCGCCUCACCCUCCCGGCUCGGAUCCGGUGCGGAGACGGCCGCCCGCCUCUGCCUCCCCGGAGUCGCACGCUGAAGGCAGGCUUUGUCCUGGUUUCCAACUCCCACCCCGUCUUCUGGCUGACAGUCAAGUUAUAAAGGCCUGUUGGACUGCCUCGAGCUCCGACUGCUUUCUAAUGACCUCCAAUCCCCACGGACAGAGGAGCCUGGCGGGCUGUAGUCCAUGGAGUUGCAGAGUCGGACACGGCUGAGCGACUAAGCACCAGCACUGAGAGGAGGCGGCCUUCAGUGCCACCAACAGAGUGGCAGUCUCGGCCCAUCUGUGGUCUGCCACCUCUGGGAGGGCCCCGCCCCCCGCCCCAUUUCCAUUUUCCUGGUACUUUCUUCCCUGUCAUCAGACAUUUAGGACUAAAGCAGG